GGAUGUGCUGGCUGGCCGUUUCUCAUUCCUACAUUUCUUAUGUUAAGUCUUCUCUUGCAGGAACACAGUCUAUAAUCACUGCAGACAGCUGUAUUAGUAACUACUUUGAUUGCAGGAGUUAUGUAUCCAGCACUGUACAGUGAAACGCAGAACGGAGGAAAGAAUUCUUCGCAACCGUAGGUGAAUCUUGGCAGAACAACACGAGGACAAACUCUUCUUUGGGAUGGAACAUCCUCCAGACUGCAGAAUGACCCAGAAGACCCUCCCUUGACAUCAGAGUAUGAUCUACAGCCAGGUGCAUCCACGUUACAUCCUCUCUACACCAUGCACCAAUGCAGAUACAAGCACAUUGGUGGGAAUGAGUGUUCCAGAACAGAUGGUAGUGCACACUGGGAAGUCACAGUCAUCUGAGGAGCUGGUGGAAGCAGAGAGUUUCCAGGGUGCUGACAAUCGGAGGAUUGCUGGAGACCAGGAUGACGAUGAGCCCCAGGCAGAUGAUGAACCUGUGGAAUCAUCUACAAGGUGGCAAAUGCAGGAUAUCCAAAGGGAUGCAUGUGAAUACCUGGCAGAGAUUCCUGAGGGUCUGCAUGCUAUGGUCAGCUGGGGUGUGGUGGGAGUGCUGUAAUUAACCUUGGCACAGCUGGGGUCAGAAGACAAGAUAACAAAAAUAUUUCCACUAAUAAAAACAGAAAAUGCUGGAAAUAACCAGGCAGCAUGUGUGGAGAGAGAAACAGAGUUAAUGUUUCAGGUUGAUGACCUGUCAUCGGAUUUCCAUCCUGAUUGCGAAGCAGAAUCUUUUACUCGAAGUUUGUAUGUAUAUAGAAAAUCGAAUAAUGUUCAACUAUGAUGAACUCUGUGGUCAAAUAUCCCACUGACACUCACUGCCAAGGUUCACAUGUAAUAAAUGGCUACUUGGGGUGAAAGAAGAGGUCAGCUGGCAUCAGUAGAUGUGUACACAAGUUAUUACAUUGAGAAAGAGAAAUUACAAUGUUUACAGGAAAAGGGGAAAGGCGAAUUGCAGCAUCUGACUGAAGAAAUUUAUGUAAAUUUAAUACUUCAGUGAGCAGAAAUAAGACUCCUGACCUUUGCAAAGUGACAGUGUUUAAAGAGCUCUGUGGUAGAGCUUUUUGAUGGAAAUAAAGCAAUGCAGAGCAUCAUGUUUUAA